UACGUAGGGUGCGAGCGUUAAUCGGAAUUACUGGGCGUAAAGAGUGCGUAGGCGGUCCCGCAAGUCCGCUGUGAAAGCCCCGGGCUUAACCUGGGAAUGGCAGUGGAAACUAGGAGACUUGGAUCUGGCAGAGGGGGGUGGAAUGCCACGUGUAGCAGUGAAAUGCGUAGAGAUGUGGCGGAACACCGAUGGCGAAGGCAGCCCCCUGGGUCAAGAUUGACGCUCAGGCACGAAAGCGUGGGGAG
rnacentral:rRNA from 1 species